AUACGGAGGGGGUUAGCGUUGUUCGGAAUUACUGGGCGUAAAGCGCGCGUAGGCGGAUUGGUAAGUUAGAGGUGAAAUCCCGGGGCUCAACCCCGGAACUGCCUUUGAUACUGCCAGUCUUGAGUUCGAGAGAGGUGAGUGGAAUUCCGAGUGUAGAGGUGAAAUUCGUAGAUAUUCGGAGGAACACCAGUGGCGAAGGCGGCUCACUGGCUCAAUACUGACGCUGAGAUGCGAAAGCGUGGGGAGCGAACAGGAUUAGAAACCCUAGUAGUCC
rnacentral:rRNA from 1 species